rnacentral:rRNA from 1 species
UGGGGAAUCUUGGACAAUGGGGGCAACCCUGAUCCAGCGAUGCCGCGUGGGUGAAGAAGGCCUUCGGGUUGUAAAGCCCUUUAGGUUGGGAAGAAGUUUAGUAUCAGAUAAUGGUAUUAAAUUGACGGUACCGACAGAAUAAGCACCGGCAAACUCUGUGCCAGCAGCCGCGGUAAUACAGAGGGUGCAAGCGUUAAUCGGAGUUACUGGGCGUAAAGGGCGCGUAGGCGGUUUAAUGAGUGUGAUGUGAAAGCCCCGGGCUUAACCUGGGAAGCGCAUCGCAAACGAUUAGACUGGAGUACAAGAGAGGGUGGCGGAAUUUCCGGUGUAGCGGUGAAAUGCGUAGAGAUCGGAAGGAACGUCAAUGGCGAAGGCAGCCACCUGGCUUGAUACUGACGCU